rnacentral:rRNA from 1 species
UACGUAGGGGGCAAGCGUUGUCCGGAAUCAUUGGGCGUAAAGAGCGUGUAGGCGGUCCGGUAAGUCGGCUGUGAAAGUCCAGGGCUCAACCCUGGGAUGCCGGUCGAUACUGCCGGACUAGAGUUCGGAAGAGGCGAGUGGAAUUCCCGGUGUAGCGGUGAAAUGCGCAGAUAUCGGGAGGAACACCCAUGGCGAAGGCAGCUCGCUGGGACGUUACUGACGCUGAGACGCGAAAGCGUGGGGAGCAAACAGG